rnacentral:rRNA from 1 species
CUACGGGAGGCAGCAGCGAGGAAUAUUGCACAAUGGGGGCAACCCUGAUGCAGUAACGCCGCGUGCGGGAAGAAGACCUUCGGGUUGUAAACCGCUUUUUUAGAGGACGAGCGAGGACGGUACUUUAAGAACAAGUCUCGGCUAACUACGUGCCAGCAGCCGCGGUAAGACGUAGGAGGCGAGCGUUAUCCGGAUUCACUGGGCGUAAAGCGCAUGUAGGCGGCUGACUAAGUCGUGUGUUAAAGCCCCCGGCUCAACUGGGGGAGGUCAUGCGAGACUAGCCGGCUGGAGGGCAGCAGAGGAGCGUGGAACUCCCGGUGUAGCGGUGGAAUGCGUAGAGAUCGGGAAGAACACCAGUGGCGAAGGCGGCGCUCUGGGCUGCACCUGACGCUGAGAUGCGAAAGUGUGGGGAGCAAACGGGAUUAGAAACCCUGGUAGUCC